UUAGGGUUUGAAUAGAAAAAGGACGGUGAACAUCAUCAUCUUCAUCAGGCUAUCAUCACUCAUCAGCAAUCCAGGGCAUCUUCAUCUUCUCCGGCCUCCACCGUCUCCUCCGCCACAAACCCGCCACCGUCUCUGCGUCUCUGUCGUCUCCUCCGCUACAAACCCCCCACCCUCCGUCUACAAUUCAGCCCCUCAAACAAUAACCGCCACCACCGAAACCUUUUUUUACUCCUUCAGACUCCGGUCUCAAAUUGUCACCAUCAAUUGGAUAUAUUCGACACCAAAGGUAACACUUUUCAAAUAUUAUUCAAUCCCUGUUAAAUGAUUUCAAGCAAAACCAAUAGAAUUUAAUUUUGUGCCAUAUCAUUUAUUUUAAUUAUGGAUAUAUUUAUUUUAAAGGGUGUGUUAGAAUUUGAUAUCAUCGUUAUUUUUUAAUCCUUCUUGAUCAUUGAGUGUAAGGAAUAUGAAAUUCAGAGAAGCAUUGCCAAUUGUUAGUGAAGACAUAUAUGUUAUAAUAUGACAUUGUUCAUGGCCAAUGGAAGAAUCAUGACCUUAAGGUUAAGGACGAAAAAACCAUUCUCUUUGGUGAGAAGCCUAUCAUUCAUCAUUGUUUUUGGCGUCAGUAGGAAACUAGGAACCCAUAAAAGAUCCCAUGGGUUGUAGUAGGAGCUGGGUUUGUGGUCGAGUUCACUGAGUUUGUAACAAUUUCAGAAACAAGUUUCGCUUUUCCUGCAUGGCGUUUGGGAUUGGAAGGCAUUGGGAUUAGGCAUUAGCCCGAAGAUAAUACUAAAACCUGUUGCAUCGCGAAUUUGGCUAGAAUGGUGUAAAAAUGAUUUUUUGCACUAUUAUGACAAGAAUGGUGUGAGGUAAACGUUCAAGUACCAAUAAAGAAAGAUGAAAACCUGGUAAGACCAUGUGGUUUAUUUUCAACAAUUCAAGAUUGUAUUGGUGCAUCCAUCGCAUGGCCCUAUCCAUUCAUCUCGGUAGUUCAUGAGAAUUGAGGACGCAUGAUGACUUAAGAUUUUAUGCUUCUUAUUUCUUUAAUUGCUUUUAAUUUCUUUGUUAAAUGUUAAGACUUUAUGUUAGAUAAUGUUAUAACUUAUUUAUGGUUAGUGUUUUUGUUAUGAACAUGCUUAUUUGAAAUAUAAUGAAGUUUUAUUUCUUUC